rnacentral:lncRNA from 1 species
CAGCAAUCCCAGUCUGAGUCCGGCCAUCAUCAGAUGCCCAGGCCAAUCAAGAUUGAGCCUGGAUCCAAACUCUCUUCCUGUAAACACCCCACGUCGGGGCCACAAGAAAAUAUGCCCAAAAGGAUAAAGCAAGAGAGCCCCUUGCUGAGCUGUGAUGGUGGGCGGACGGAAAGCAUCAUCGAGACGAUGGAGCGACACCUGAAGCAGUUCCAGCUCAAGGCGCUCUGCGACUAUAAGAUCCUGACCCUCAACUCACAGAGACAGGGGGAUGUGGAAACGGCU